rnacentral:rRNA from 1 species
UACAGAGGUCUCAAGCGUUGUUCGGAUUCAUUGGGCGUAAAGGGUGCGUAGGCGGCGCGGUAAGUCGGGUGUGAAAUCUCGGGGCUUAACUCCGAAACUGCAUUCGAUACUGCCGUGCUUGAGGACUGGAGAGGAGACUGGAAUUUACGGUGUAGCGGUGAAAUGCGCAGAUAUCGGGAGGAACACCGGUGGCGAAGGCGGUUCUCUGGGCCUUACCUGACGCUGAGGAGCGAAAGUGUGGGGAGCGAACAGG